UUUCGAUCGAACUUCACAAUCAACAAAUCAGCUGUGGAGGCAGCGGCGUCGUGUGCAAGCCUGCUUCCACAGAACCAUGUUUCUACUCAUUAAGGAGGAAUGACCAUUUUAUACCAUGAAUGUGUUGAUGACGUGGGGCCUAUGUGUGUCUGAGAAUGAAGAGAACCACCAUCCUGACACAAUCCAGGAAGAAAUCCAUGACCAGCAUCCUGACACAUUACAGGAAGAAAUCCAUGACCAGCAUCCUGUCCCAAUGCGGAAAGCGAGUGACGGCCAAAAUGCUGACCAGCAGCUUCAGGUAUGUGUCCGUGAGCAUAAAUAAAUGCAAGAAAGCAUGUCAGCCGGGCAGUCAGCUGGGCAGUCAACCUGUUAUGUCUGUGCUCACAACUCUGCUAGACUGGACCGAACAUUCACAGUCGUGCUAGCUUGCCCCCCAGGCAGACGCAUCGGUGUGCGAGAGAGGGGGCGUCCCCACGGAAGUGCCCGUGUCACUGCUGGUGUGUCACCAGAGGGCCUGAAGGCCGGGGCAGGACUCCAGCCCCUUAGAUAUGGAUCAGGAGGAAUAACGGGAGCAGGGCCAUCAAUAAAGAUGAAGCAUGGCUCCGGCUUUGACAGCAGACUGCUGUUGUGGCUGGCGACGGUGUGUGAUCUGCAUGGCCACUCCAUCAGCGCGAGACCCCCUGUUCCGCUGAUGGAUGCCGGCGCCGCGGAGCCCCUGGGCCAGCGGGCGCGUCGCUACGCGUUCCGGAAACAUGGCCGACUCAGAGCCUGCUCUUGGGAGUUUGCCACUGUUUGUCAAUUAUUUUCCCCCCGCACAUAUGUAUGUGUGUGCGUAUGUAGGUAUGUAUGUAUGUAUGUAUGUGAGUUAGUGAGUGAGUCUGUGUGUGCCUGUGUGCAUGUGCAUGUGAGAGAGGUAUAAUUUUCUCUAUAUUCUGGAUGGAAGGCUGAUUUGAUGGAUUGCGCGGCAGAAAUAUUUCAUCGACUGAUUGAGCGCAGGCUUUUUUCGUAUCUGACAAGCAAAUUUCUUGCUCACUCGAUCUUUUUAAUAUUUCUCCUUUUACUCGUAGGCUGCUUGUCAGGUAGGUGUAUAGCUCCUCACUGCCGCUCUUAGUAUUGUCACUUCGAUUCACUGCCCCCCCACACACACCCCCCCCCCUCCCCUGACCACCACCUCCUUCUCUCUCAUAGGGUAUUAGUAUGCUAUUGGUUGUGCCUGAUUUGAUGAGCCAGGGAACUAAAAAUCUUUAACAUAGAAUGAAAAAAGAAAUCCUCAUGCUCAACAAAAUAUCAAUGACUUACGCUUCAGUAGUUUCAGUGAUAAUAUUUAGCAUGUGAAUCGAAGGAUAUUGAGUCCUUGUUCCAUUUCCUCCACUCAUAAGGUGAACAGGUGAAUCUAAGGCUAUAAGGAAACUUUUGGAAACUGAGAGUGACUGGGCGUCAUUCACAAAACUUUUCUAAAAUUCUUCUUACUGUUUUCUUAAUAAAAGUUGCUACGGAAAUA